GAUCCAGCCAUGCCGCGUGAGUGAAGAAGGCCUUCGGGUUGUAAAGCUCUUUCAGCCGGAACGAAACGGUCACGGCUAAUACCUGUGAUCACUGACGGUACCGGAAGAAGAAGCACCGGCUAACUACGUGCCAGCAGCCGCGGUAAUACGUAGGGUGCGAGCGUUAAUCGGAAUUACUGGGCGUAAAGCGUGCGCAGGCGGUUUUGUAAGUCAGAUGUGAAAUCCCCGGGCUUAACCUGGGAACUGCGUUUGAAACUACAAGGCUAGAGUGUAGCAGAGGGGGUGGAAUUCCACGUGUAGCAGUGAAAUGCGUAGAGAUGUGGAGGAACACCGAUGGCGAAGGCAGCCCCCUGGGUUAACACUGACGCUCAGGCACGAAAGCGUGGGGAGCAAACAGGAUUAGAUACCCUGGUAGUCCACGCCCUAAACUAUGUCAACUAGUUGUCGGGCCUUAACGGGCUUGGUAACGCAGCUAACGCGUGAAGUUGACCGCCUGGGGAGUACGGUCGCAAGAUUA
rnacentral:rRNA from 1 species